UUUUUUCUCUCUUCAUUUUUUUUUCUUUUUUCUCUUCUGUUUCCUUUCGGAAUUUGCUAAUUUAGGUCUUCUAUUUUUCUCAACUAAUUUCUAUCUUUGAGAUCUGAUUUUAUUAAAGAUGAUAUUUCCAUUUACAGGCCACUUGAUAUAUUUAUUUUCAUUUUUAUUUGGUAUGAGAAUUAUUUUCCAUUUUUGAGUUUGGGAGCGUGCUUUUGGCUUCCUUUGAGUUUACUCAAUAACUUAACCGUCAAAUGGGAGGUCAAAAGUUGGAUACCUGCAUUAUUAUGAAAAAGCCUUUUGACUUUUCCUGAGGGAUCCCUCUUCAAGUCAAGCAGUUUCAGCUGGGUGGUCUCUGUUUAAGAUUUCACUUAGAAAUUGGGUCAGAGGGUUACACUUUGGCGGAAUCUAAUUUAGUUUCUUCCCAAGUGGAAUUAUGGGAUCCGUACACCAGUUAUGCUUCCCGUGCUUGUGUACUCCUCAGGAACUUCACGUAUGGGUUUUCUUGAAUCUUGGUCGACAGCUUCAAGGUGUUUCUUUUUUUUUUUUUUUUGUUUCUUUUAAGAAACGGCUUCAAAGUGUUUAUAUGUUUUUUUAUCAGAGGUUGAAUCCAUCAUCAGAAACUUUACUGGUUC